rnacentral:rRNA from 1 species
GACGAACGCUGGCGGCGUGCUUAACACAUGCAAGUCGAACGGAAAGGCCCUGCUUUUGUGGGGUUCUCGAGUGGCGAACGGGUGAGUAACACGUGAGUAACCUGCCCUUGACUUUGGGAUAACUUCAGGAAACUGGGGCUAAUACCGGAUAGGAGCUCCUGCUGCAUGGUGGGGGUUGGAAAGUUUCGGCGGUUGGGGAUGGACUCGCGGCUUAUCAGCUUGUUGGUGGGGUAGUGGCUUACCAAGGCUUUGACGGGUAGCCGGCCUGAGAGGGUGACCGGCCACAUUGGGACUGCGAGAGGGCCCAGACUCCUACGGGAGGCAGCAGGGGGGAAUAUUGCACAAUGGGCGGAAGCCUGAUGCAGCAACGCCGCGUGCGGGAUGACGGCCUUCGGGUUGUAAACCGCUUUCGCCUGUGACGAAGCGUGAGUGACGGUAAUGGGUAAAGAAGCACCGGCUAACUACGUG